UCCGUGUUAACCACGGCAGUCUCCUUAGAGAGCCCAACUUAAUGCUGGCAACUAAGGACAAGGGUUGCGCUCGUUGCGGGACUUAACCCAACAUGUCACCACACGAGCUGACGACAGCCAUGCAGCACCUGUCUUCCUGCUGUAUUGCUACAGAAGCCGUAUCUCUACGGUUGUCAGGAGAUGUCAAAUCUAGGUAAGGUUCUUCGCGUUGCGUCGAAUUAAACCACAUGCUCCACCGCUUGUGCGGGCCCCCGUCAAUUCCUUUGAGUUUCAACCUUGCGGCCGUACUCCCCAGGCGGGCCACUUACUGCGUUGGCGGCGGCACGGAAGGGGUCGAUACCCCCCGCACCUAGUGGCCACCGUUUAGGGCGUGGACUAC
rnacentral:misc_RNA from 1 species